rnacentral:rRNA from 1 species
UAGGGAAUCUUCCACAAUGGACGCAAGUCUGAUGGAGCAACGCCGCGUGAGUGAAGAAGGUUUUCGGAUCGUAAAGCUCUGUUGUUGGUGAAGAAGGAUAGAGGCAGUAACUGGUCUUUAUUUGACGGUAAUCAACCAGAAAGUCACGGCUAACUAUGUGCCAGCAGCCGCGGUAAUACGUAGGUGGCAAGCGUUGUCCGGAUUUAUUGGGCGUAAAGCGAGCGCAGGCGGAAUGAUAAGUCUGAUUUGAAAGCCCACGGCUCAACCGUGGAACUGCAUCGGAAACUGUCAUUCUUGAGUGCAGAAGAGGAGAGUGGAAUUCCAUGUGUAGCGGUGGAAUGCGUAGAUAUAUGGAAGAACACCAGUGGCGAAGGCGGCUCUCUGGUCUGCAACUGACGCUGAGGCUCGAAAGCAUGGGUAGCGAACAGG